UCAGAAUGUUUCUGAUUCUUUCUUUAGGUGAUAACAAGGUAGUUCACCUCACAGGGAUUGGUGGUCCAAUCCACAGCAAUGCUGGACACGUUUUCAGUAUUAGUGGUCAAACGUAUGACAAAGCAGAGGUAGCUGAAGAGUUGAUUGGUGAAGUUGUUGGAAAAAGUAAAGCCUACAUCAACAACGAACGUGAUUUGACUUGGAAGGCGUUUGAUCCGGAUGUGAUUGUGAAGAGAGCAAAGGAAUUAGUAGGCGAGAUACUUGAAUACCACAUUGUUAUACGCCAACUGUGAAAAUUUCGUAAAUUACUGUCGAUACGGAAAAUAUGAAAAUGACCAGGCUAGUAAUGCAGUCAAGACAGUUGUCGCUGGAUCAGCAGUUGCGGGCGUUGCUGCAGCGACGGUCCUAAUAUUUGCAUUAAUACUGGAGAGAUAAACGCCAGGAAACGUACUUGUGGUCUAAACUUUUCAGUGGAGCACAAUCCAAUACGUAGUCCUACCAUUGUAACAUGGUAAUUAGAAGUAGUGCAUUUAUUUUUAGUACAAACAUGUGUGUAUAUUCCUCAUCUUAAUUUUUUUUUUCGGAAAUAAGAGAGAGAGAGAGAGAGAGAAAGAGAGAGAGAGAGAGAGAGUUAAUGUUUUUCUUGGUAACUAUCUUCAGUGAAGGUUCUUUGAAAGAAUGCUAGUAAGCCUAAAAAAAAAAAUUAACAGUUAAAUCUCAUGUUGACAUGCUAUUGACAGAUUAGCACAUGCUUUUGACCUCGAUGAGACUAAAUCAUGAAGUGUUGGGUCAUUAAGUGUUGUAGAUGGUUGUUGAUGUGUACCAUCAAACUGAUCGUAAACAACUAAACCGCUGCAGGCGUAUUAUAUUUUAACAUAUAAAGACUUGAAACAACUUGAAUAACUUCAGGUGAAAUAUAUUAAUCUAGUCGACCGGCGGCAUAGUAUACGCCGCUCUUUUGAGAGGGCGACCUUAGGCCAAUGCAACCUAUUUGACCGCAGUGGGCCCCGCACUUUCAUAGCACCCGCGCUAAUGCAAGGUGUAUAGAUUAUUAAAUUAAACCAGAAAUAAGAGAGUGAUCUUUCUUUUACUUCUUCUUCUCGUCCAAAAUCUUGAGGGAAGAAGAGAAUUAUAUAUAUAAAUAUAACUUUUGUUACAAUAUAGCCUAAUUAAACUUGAGAUGAAAUAAAAUAAACGCAAUAGAGUUUAGUCAACUUGUAUAAGCUUUAUACAAUUGUAAAUGCUGCUAGUAAGACCAUAGGCAACAAACAAUUUACAACUAACUGUUGUAAAUGUUGCAUGUAAAAGAGAAACUGGAGUAUGAACGUAUAUCUUGGGUGCUAUGGUACACAUUGUUU